rnacentral:lncRNA from 1 species
UUUUAUUAUUACUCCAUUAUCCAAAUUUUUGUGGAAAAAAUUCAUAUCAACAAAGGUUAAUAGCUAUUGGGAAAAACGCAUUAACGAUGAAUCUAAGUUAUAUCCAACACUAUCAUAUCUGGAAAUGAGCUUAUAAGAUAGGACAAUGUCAUCCUAUAGCAAGAACUGUAGAUGCAAACAUCAGAGAUAUUGCAAAGAUACCAGUUCGAUUAAAAAUUGCAACUGGCACAUACAUUCUCCAAACAAAUAGAGCCGCUUUUAAUCAAAACAAAAUAGAUGUUGUCUGUAUGCUAUGCAAAUGUAGUGAAGAGACACUUGCUCAUUUUCUGCUAGGCUGUACCCGGCUUGAAUAUGUACGUAAAGAUAUUCUUGAAAAGAUCACCAAGACUUGUAGCUUGCUAUUUGCUAAAUAUAAUCUGGCUGUAGAAGUAGAUCUUCUCACUGUCGUAGUGAAUCCUUAUGCCUACUGUAUCACCUCG